rnacentral:lncRNA from 1 species
GUUUGGAUCCAUUAAAACGUUUAAUCCCGCUGCAAAUGUUUGCACCUGUCCUAAGUCAGGAAUCUGAUGUACAGUAGUUGUCGUUUGUUUAUGUAAUAUAUACGUGUUUCUCGUUUCUCGUUUUGUUUAUAUAGAUUAGACCGUUGGUUUUCCCGUUUGAAUGGUUUUAUACUAGUAAUUUUGGGGCCCUUUAUAGCUUGUUGUUCGGUGUGAGCCAAGGCUCCGUGUUGAAGGCCGUACUUUAACCUAUAAUGGUUUACUUUUUAAAUUGUUAUUUGGAUGGAGAAUUGUCUCAUUGGCACUCACACCACAUCUUCCUUUAUCUAUUUCAUGAGCUUUUAAGUCUUAUAUGAAAAAAUAAGUGGGUGUUAUGGGGCAAAAUAUUUUACAUUGUAUUGUAUGGAAAAACAUCAAAGAGUCCGAACAU